rnacentral:lncRNA from 1 species
CCUGGUAAGUGGUAACAAGUACUCAAUAUGGUACCUCCCAUAACAGAUCUUCUACUAUAAAUUUAUUCAUGUGAGUCUCUGGUAAAUAUGUUCACAAUCUGCACAGAAAGGAUUCGGUGAAUACAAGGCCCAGGCCAAAGUUAGUGACCUGGGCAAGGCAAAAAGAUAAAAUCUAAAUCAAAACUUACAUAAACAACUAAUGCUAGUUUACAGCAAAUUUGACGCUAAAGAAAUAUGUUACUAUUCCCAAACUUUGAGAAGUAAGAAGUAUUUAUGAACUCUUCUUUUAUUAACAAAGCAACA